rnacentral:rRNA from 1 species
AGCAUGUGGUUUAAUUCGAAGCAACGCGAAGAACCUUACCAGGUCUUGACAUCCCCUGACAACCCGAGAGAUCGGGCGUUCCCCUUCGGGGGGACAGGGUGACAGGUGGUGCAUGGUUGUCGUCAGCUCGUGUCGUGAGAUGUUGGGUUAAGUCCCGCAACGAGCGCAACCCUCGACCUUAGUUGCCAGCAUUCAGUUGGGCACUCUAAGGUGACUGCCGGCUAAAAGUCGGAGGAAGGUGGGAUGACGUCAAAUCAUCAUGCCCCUUAUGUUCUGGGCUACACACGUGCUACAAUGGCCGGUACAGACGGAGGCGAAGCCGCGAGGCGGAGCAAAUCCGAAAAAGCCGGUCUCAGUUCGGAUUGCAGGCUGCAAUUCGCCUGCAUGAAGUCGGAAUCGCUAGUAAUCGCAGGUCAGCAUACUGCGGUGAAUACGUUCCCGGGCCUU